rnacentral:lncRNA from 1 species
UGAAGAUAAUGGUCUCAUUUAGAGAGCGAUGCCCACAGGUAUGAGUAAUUACGAACGGCCAUUAUUCUCUGCCGUCUGUGGGCGUGUGUUUGUGUGCUGCGGAGGCCGCUCUUUCAGGCGCGUCCCAGCAGCACAUUACAAAGGUGUGGCUGCUGCGCGACAUCCAAAUGUGACACAUGAAAGGCGAGGGAGAAAAAAAAAAUAGCGUGGAUCAACAGAGGGUGUCUCAGCCACCGUUCCACUACUUUGCCGUGGAUCUGACAGAUGGCAUGGGCCCGUCUGAGGCCCUGGCAAUGAGGAGUUUAGUGGCUUCAAAGGCCCUCUGUAAUCUGCAGCAACAUCACAGGCUGGGAGAAAGUGACUGUCUCCCAGACACCCACCCCACUAAGAGGGCGAGCAACGCGCUAAUGAAAGGCAGAUAAAGGGAUCGCAGACAGCGCCUCGUGGAAAAAGGGAAAACAUCAGGGCAGCGUAUCACCUGCUAAUCAACACCUCACUGCGGGAGGCAGUUCUUCUGUUACGAACUCGCCCCGUCGGUUCCGAACCGGCGGGGCUUUGACGGAACCCUGGGGCAGGAGAGGGAAUGCGGUGGAGAGAGACGGUGACAGCACCCGCUCCAAGCGGGGAGAACUACGGCUCUCACGGAGCCGGGAGGAGAACGCGCUCACACUGAGCGGAGGCUUCAGGCACCACGGCCGACGCGCUUCCAGCACACAGCUCUGUGUAAUCCCUCACACAGACACCUGGCCGCAACCGGCAGACCAGGUCGCAGGGAACACAGGAGAGGGGGGGAGACCCCAAAUGCACGACCCAACACAGAAGGUACAAUUACAUAAACAGGUUUAUUCAAGUACAAACAAAACUCACUGCACAGCAGGACUCAGUUCAACACAAAGGAAGAACUAAAAAUCACUGCAAUGCAGGAAAACGAUUAACAACCUAAACUCACUAGACUAAACGCUCCGUACACUACGGGCAGAAACCUACACAUGAACACAAGACAUAAACUGAGGACAACUAAGAACUACGUACAGCACUGUCUAACAGGCACUAACAAAACACGCUCCGUAACACGGGCAAAACCUAAACAUGAAACAUAAGACAGUCACAAAACUUACGUGGUGGGACAGGACAUCAACAAAACCAAAACUCCUUGCAGCAUAAACUCUCCUCAACGUAACAACGGGGUAGCAUCCAGCUACACCCAGAGUACACACCAGCAAUGUGUCCAACACAAAACAUCCCUUAAAUACAAAUCAAACAGGUGGGUCAACUAAUUACACAGGAAAUUAAACUCAAACCCACACCAAAAAAGUCCCAAGAGCGCCUCUAGCGGCGUGGAGGCUGAAUGUCACAUCUUCUGCACUUAUGCUCUAAACACUUUCAUGCAAGUAUAAAUAAUAUCAUUUAUUAAUAUAUAUCAUUUUGCAUUUGAUGUUUGCCAAUGGUGCAGUUAUUUUCUCCACUGGGCUGAACUCCGGCCUCGGAUUGAAGGCGGGUCAGCACAGACGCCCCCUGCUGGUUCCACAACCUCCUAGUUGUUCUGAUCUUGAACCUUUCUCUCCAACCCCGACUCGUGGAUCAGCCUGGAACCCUCUUAUCUGCUGCUCCUGGCUCCUUCCCUCGACCAGCUACACCGUGCGUGUUCCAGGAGGCGACUGUUAACAGUCGCUGAGUUCCACGUGUUCCGGCAGCGCGUUCCCAGCGCAGCUGAGCAGCACCGCGAGCCAAGGCAAUUAACAAUUAACACUGUACAGAUCCU